GGAAACUCCUCGCCAACAGCUGGGCAGGACCUCUCGCCGCCCCAGAGCCUUCUCCCUCUCUCCGCUCCCCGCCCGGCUCGCUCUCUCCUAGCUGCCAAUCACGUCCCUUAGACCGGCCCCUCCGAGGGCUUUGGCCAACUUGCAGCUGCCCCUUGCCGCCCCCGGGAGUCCUGGCUCCAAGGAUUUACUCCGCGGUGACUAAGCGCACACGUUUCACAAAGUAACUGAACAGGGGAAGUGGGCUGUAUACUUCCAAAGCACC